rnacentral:sRNA from 1 species
UGACCCUUUUUAAAGCCGAGGGUCACCUAGCCAACUGACGUUGUUAGUGAAUCUAUUUGUUCACAAUAUAUAUCGGCCAAUCGCACUAUUAUUUGCGAUUGGCUUUUUUUGC